rnacentral:rRNA from 1 species
GAUGAACGCUGGCGGCGUGCCUAAUACAUGCAAGUCGAGCGAAGCGGGGACGGGUGAGUAACACGUGGAUAACCUCCUAUAAGACUGGGAUAACUUCGGGAAACCGUAGCUAAAACGGAUACUUAUAGAUGGCGACGCGAUGCAUUAGCUAGUUGGUAAGGUAACGGCUUACCAAGGCAACGAUGCAGAGCCGACCUGAGAGGGUGUGCGGCCAAACUGGAACUGAUUACCGGUCCAGACUCCUACGGGAGGCAGCAGUAGGGAAUCUUCCGCAAUGGGCGAAAGCCUGACGGAGAAACGCCGCGUGAGUGAUGAAGGGCUGUGGAUCGUAAAACUCGGUUAUUAGGGAAGCGGUACCUAAUCAGAAAGCCACGGCUAACUACGUGCCAGCAGCCGCGGUAAUAC